rnacentral:rRNA from 1 species
GAUGAACGCUGGCGGCGUGCUUAACACAUGCAAGUCGAACGGGAAACCUUUUAUUGAAGCUUCGGCAGAUUUAGCUGGUUUCUAGUGGCGGACGGGUGAGUAACGCGUGGGUAACCUGCCUUAUACAGGGGGAUAACAGUCAGAAAUGGCUGCUAAUACCGCAUAAGCGCACAGAGCUGCAUGGCUCAGUGUGAAAAACUCCGGUGGUAUAAGAUGGACCCGCGUUGGAUUAGCUGGUUGGUGGGGUAACGGCCCACCAAGGCGACGAUCCAUAGCCGGCCUGAGAGGGUGAACGGCCACAUUGGGACUGAGACACGGCCCAGACUCCUACGGGAGGCAGCAGUGGGGAAUAUUGCACAAUGGGGGAAACCCUGAUGCAGCGACGCCGCGUGAAGGAAGAAGUACCUCGGUAUGUAAACUUCUAUCAGCAGGGAAGAUAAUGACGGUACCUGACUAAGAAGCCCCGGCUAACUACGUG